ACUCCUACGGGAGGCAGCAGUGGGGAAUUGUUCGCAAUGGGCGCAAGCCUGACGACGCAACGCCGCGUGGAGGAUGAAGAUUUUCGGAUCGUAAACUCCUGUCGAAUGGGACGAACAGAUUGCGGGUUAACAGCCCGUAGUCCUGACGGUACCGUUAAAGGAAACCCCGGCUAACUCCGUGCCAGCAGCCGCGGUAAUACGGGGGGGGGUAAGCGUUGUUCGGAAUUACUGGGCGUAAAGGGCUCGUAGGCGGCCAACUAAGUCAUACGUGAAAUCCCUCAGCUUAACUGGGGAACUGCGUGUGAUACUGGAUGGCUUGGAUUUGGGAGAGGGAUGCGGAAUUCCAGGUGUAGCGGUGAAAUGCGUAGAUAUCUGGAGGAACACCGGUGGCGAAGGCGGCAUCCUGGACCAAUAUUGACGCUGAGGAGCGAAAGCCAGGGGAGCAAACGGGAUUAGAUACCCCGGUAGUCCUGGCCCUAAACGAUGAAUGCUUGGUGUAGCGGGUAUCGAUCCCUGCUGUGCCGAAGCUAACG
rnacentral:rRNA from 1 species